rnacentral:lncRNA from 1 species
AUGGGGGAGGGGGAGAGGGCACCGAGGUUGCCCCUGCUCUUGGGUCCACAGAUACCCAAGACCCCCACCCACCUGCCCCUCCCCCUCCUGGGGUUGGCCAGGGUCCAGCGGGCAUUCCCACAUGGGACACCCAAAUCUCCGCUCCCUGCAGGCAAGGGCUCCCAGAAACUCCUCUGGGAAUGCUGGAGGUGGGCACAGGCUUGGGACCCCCUUGCUAAGUGCCAAAGGCCCACUAUGCUGCUUCACACAUCCCAGCCCCAGCCCCUCCAAGACCUCAUUCGGGAGGACUCGCCCCGAGCCCCUGCCCACACACGGCCAGCCCCCCACCCCGAGCCCUGUCCUCAGCGAGGCAGCCGCGGCCUGGGCUGGGACACGUGCUGGCCCUGCUCAGCAGCCGGCCGCUCACCCGCCUUUCCUACACAACUUGCGCCCCACAAGCCUGCCCAGCCAGCCCCAGUCUACGGCCACACCUCCAGCCCUAGGGCGACACCCACCCCACCCCCGCCCCGCCCCAGGCCCAGCACCCUCCCUCCCACCCGCCUGGCCCGGGAAACUGGCUCCAGUGGGCACAGGGCAGGCCAGGGCCUCUACCACCCAGGUGCCCCAGUGAAAGGGAGGGUGCUGCUAUCCUCCAACACCCUCCGCCCUCCCCAGAGGGAACCCUGUCUCCCAAGUGUGACAAGUGGACCCAGGGGGGGCGGCGCUGGCGGGGGGGCACCCCACACACACCCAAACGCAGCGGGCCUGGCUGAGAGGUGGUGCCUGGCAAAGGCAGCCAGGGGCGCCCUGAGGUCACAGCCGCCACACCCACAGCCCCCCACGGCCACCUGUGAGGCCACGGUGUCAUCGGGGCCCUCCCAGGCCAGGCGGCCGGGGCGACCCGAGGGUCUGUCGGAGCCUGGCCGUGGGGACGGGGGCCCGCCAGGGAGGCCGGCGGCCCGCGAGGCCGAGACGCACGCUCUGCGCAACAGCUCGAAACCCGAGCCGCGGCUGCGCUGCCAGCAACGAGCGAGCGCCGGGGGCCGAGGGCCGAGGCCGCGCCGGGGGCUGGGGCCGGGGGCGGGGCCCGGAGGACGCGGCUGCCGCUCAGUAGCCGGGAGGCCAUUAGCGGCGCCUGGCGGGAGAGCUGGGAGGACCGCAGCCCGGACGCAGAUGCGCCCGCCGCCCGCCCACCCUUGCAGGGCCGGGACCCCGGGGGCUCGCAGCCCCGCCCCCACCCCACCCGCCCAAGGCCUCAGCUUCUCCCAGGCCAGAGGCAGGGUGGGGGAACCCCGCUGCUGCGAAGGCCGCCCAGCCCCCCCGCCCCCGCCCCUCCUCCCGGGGCGGCAGCUGGAUGAGAUCACGUCUGUGGGGGAGGGGUGCAGUGGACUUGUGGGAGCGGGGCUCCCCCCACUCACGGUGGCCAGGACCCCCGCCACGCGUGGCCUGGCAGCACGUUCAGGGGCUGCAGCCCUGUUGCUGCCUGGGAUGUGA